ACUAUUACUAAAACAAAUACCGCUGACAUCAUUAUUGUCCACAUGUCAGCUUCUCCAAGCAAAUUUUCCCGCCUAAUCUAAUAAUGACGUCAUUAACUAUAUAAUUUUACCGGGUUGUAAAUUGUUAGUCUACUCCACUGUUCGAUGCAAUUAAUGGCAUGCAGUACACAUUCUCCUUUCCCAAAAAAGAAGCCUGCAAAAAUACUGCACACUUUACUAUUCACAAAACCGCUUUCCUUUCAUUUUCUCUCUUCAUCUUCCUAAUCUUUCCUCUCCCUCCUUCGGUGCUUUUUCGUAACUCCUCUCUUCUCAUAAUCCCUUUUAGAGUACUUUUUUAUUUGAAUUUUGGUGAUGGGUUUUAUAUAUUCAUAUUUGAAGGAUUUUGUGGUGGAGAUGACAACAUUCUUUCUGUUUGGUUUGAGGCUGAGAAAUUGAUAAGUUGAAUGUUAUCAGCAAAUGCGUCCACAAUUAAGGAAAACAUCUGUUUGCAUAUCUUGGGCAAUUCUUAUUUUUGAGGUAGAAAAUAGGGUAGUGUCGAAGAAUUGACUGCAAUUGGAUUAUUACCAGGAAGUUGGGAAGAUUCAAUUCUGCAAUUUGCUACGAGAACUCGAGAAGGUCUAAUUCGAUCAUCUAUAAUUCCCUUAUUCUGCAUUACUUUUUCUUCAAUUAAUUUCUAAUACGAUGAAGUAGUUUUUGGUUUUCACUUUCGUUUUGAAUGUUAUUAGUUGAUUUUUCUACCGUUCAUUUGAAUAAUUUACUACUCCGUAUAAUACUUCAAUAAUUUUGUAUGGAAAUUAAUUUACAGCUACUUUGUCUAGAAUUUUAAUGUUGGAGUUGAUAUUUGGUUUAAAUUUUGUUGAAUUUGUUAUUGUGGACCUUGUGGUUGUGCAGGUUGGAGUUUGUAUUAGCAAGUUUUUACUAUAGUGGCUUGACCUUUUUAAAAAUGUUAAUUAAAAUGCAUCAAGUACACUAGAGUGACUUUGCUACAAUGCCAUUAGAGUCAAUUUUUUUAUUGUAAUGAUUGUCAAGUUUUCGAAGAGGAAGCUUCCAUUAGAGUUGGCUUUCAAAGAAAUAUCGCUAAUCGUAUCAAGCUCAAGUGGGAACUAUUAUUGUAACGCUUUUGUUUUUUACCCUAAUCGAACAAGUUGAACUCACUUUUCCACAACAUUUCACUAAUGCAUUGUAUUUAUACAUUUGGUCAAAUAGAAAACAUUAUUACUUUUGUAAAUAUCAAAUAUUGUAUUUUUUACAUUAUUUAUGUACAUCAAAUUGUUACUCCCCGUAUUCCAUACCAACUAAUUACUUAAUAAAUAUUUUAAAGAGUUUUGUUAUAAUCGUGCAUCGCACGGGUGCUAACCUAGUA